GUCUCGGAUAGCUUAACUGGUAACAGCCCUUGGCGCGUAACCGAGAGAUCUGGGUUCGAUUCCCAGUCUGGGCU
rnacentral:tRNA from 1 species